GCUAGCGUGGUACACUGGUUUGAGUGUUGGACUUGGACUCUAAGAGACCAGGGUUCAAAUCCCUGCUCAGGUU